UAGAACUCUGUUCCUACCGAUCCCUGUU
rnacentral:piRNA from 1 species